CCUGGUGGCUCAGAAGUGAAAGCAUCUGCUUGCAAUGCAGGAGACCUGGGUUCGAUCCCUGGGUCAGGA
rnacentral:tRNA from 1 species